rnacentral:lncRNA from 1 species
AAAAAAUUUGUUAAGAGAGAUAUAGAAUAAAAAAGAGACGCAAUAUAAAAUAACCCAGCCCUCGACCCGACUCCUUCAGCCUCAGCGCCUCCCUCCGCCGACUUUGCAGACUUGCAGUAGCAACAGUUUCCAACGCUCAAUUUCCGGUAUUGCAGGUAAGCCGACAGGCUAUUCGUGCCAUUUAGAAGUUCGAACUUUUUUUUUGUAUGCUGUAAAUUGGGGCAAACUUGUUAUCCUUUCUAGAAUAAACUUGCCUUUGAAUGAUGAAUGUUGGCUCUUAUAUACAUCCUUGAUAUUCAGGCAGUUAUAUGUAUCACUUCAAUUUUUUUUGUUUUGUUUUUGUUUUUGUUUUUGUUUUUUUAGGGUUUGUUUUUUUUGGUUGACAAAUUUACCCUUUCUCAUCCCCUUCAAAUAAGAAUGAUAAUGAAUAAUAUUAUCACAUGAGUGAAUUGAUAAUAUUAUCACAUUAAAAAUGGAGGGAUAAUUUGGAGUGAAAAGAAGGGAUGGGAAUCGAUAAUAUUCUGGUUCAUAGAAGAUGAUGGAAAAGAAAGAAGAAUUUAAAGGGAUAAAUUUUUGUUAUGUCUUAUUUUCUCAUGAUAAGUUUAUCAAGCAAAGAGAACGCACCUGAGUUGUUUAUAUCAACAAUGAUUUUUAACCAAGAAAUAAAAUUCAGCCAACACUUUUACAAAUUACACAAACACAACAGAAUAAGCUCAUACUCUAUUGGCGGGAAAAUGACUAUAUAUAUAUAUAUAUAUAUAUAUAUAUAUAUAGAUGGCCCAAGAAGCUACAACGAUCGAUUUCAAAAACACUGGAUGUCGGAAAUUUUCACAGUUUUGGUCGCCCCUAAGUUGAUUGCUUCACGAGGGUAAGGAAAACAUGUCAAUUUCUUCAGUUUCUUAUAAAUUGCUAGAAAUUUAUUUGUUUCCAUUCCAUUCAAUCAUAGUAAACGUUUGUUUAGGUACUCAAUUUUACUUCCAUCACCAACUUCCACUAGGGUAAUUGAAACUCAAUUAGAGAAGGUUUUGAACCUGCCUUAUCAUUAUAAGUAUUCGAUUUUUCUUAAUUUUUUAAAAGAUUGUACUCCUCAGAAUAUUAUUUAGUGCAAGAAAAGAUGUAGUGAAAUUAUUAAGCGAAGUAGGAUUUUAGUGGUGGUUAAUUGUAGUUGAAUUUUUUUUAUGAGAGGAUGAAAGAGAACAAAUAAUAAGGAAUGACUGUUUACAAGCAUUUCUGAGUAUUGUCUUGUAAGAGGUGAUGCAGUAACUCUGUGGUUGUCUGUGUGUAUUGCUGUUUGCAAUAAAUUCACUGUGUGUGCGUGUGUGUUUUGUCUGAGAGUUGUGUGGUUUGUGUUGAAUGUUUUGGACAGGGAUGCACAUUGCUGGAUUUAACUUCCAUGGAGAACAUACCGUUUAAAGUUGGACAACUGGCUGAAUUAAGGUCCUUUUGUUCUGGUUAUCGUGGUGCGUGGUUUCGAUGCAAGGUAAUGGAAGAUGCCACAUCUGUAAUGUUGAGGAAUUUGUAUGUUAGUUCUAUAUUUCAGCAUGAAUUGCAAUAUGAGAGAAACAUAUUUGGGAUAAGUUAUUUAGUGGUUAGCGAAGUUUCCCUAAAUAGGAUUACUUCCUUGUAAAGUUUAUCCUGGAACGUUAUUUUGUUGACAUAAUCUAGAUUUUUGUAUAAACUUAGAAAUUUAAGGAUUGAGCUGUGUAAACCGUUAUCACACACACGUAUUGUAAUUACACAUAUCAUAUAAGGGAGAGUUGGUUUAA